rnacentral:tRNA from 1 species
GCCCGGGUGGCUCAGUCGGUUAAGCGUCCGACUUCAGCUCAGGUCAUGAUCUUGUGGUUUGUGGGUUCAAGCCCCGCAUCGGGCU